UACAGAGGCCUCGAGCGUUGUUCGGAAUUACUGGGCGUAAAGCGUGCGUAGGCGGUUUGUUAAGUCCAUUGUGAAAGCCCUGGGCUCAACCUGGGAAUUGCAGUGGAUACUGGCGAUCUAGAGUGCGGUAGAGGAUGGUGGAAUUCCCAGUGUAGCGGUGAAAUGCGUAGAGAUCGGGAGGAACACCCGUGGCGAAGGCGGCCAUCUGGUCCGGCACUGACGCUGAGGCUCGAAAGCGUGGGGAGCAAACAGG
rnacentral:rRNA from 1 species